AAGGAGAAAAAUAAACGGGCACUCUCGGUCUCUCUGGGAGCCCUCCCGACUCUAUUUCUGUGUCUUUCUUUUUCCUCAUCCUCACUCCCCCAUUCAGGUGCUGUUCGACAAGUGACGGCGGACUCCAUCAGCUGUCAUCCUACCUGGCCACCUGUGGUGACUUUGUACCCCUCCAUGGGCUUUCUGUCUUUGCCCAGGUGAAAUCCAGAGUGCGCAGUGAGGUAAAGCUGAGCUCCUCAACACAUCCCCACACCGUGGAGACAGUGAAACAGCUUCGCACGUGUUCCCGCUCCUCUGGGCUUGAUCUGCUCAUGAGAUGGUUAAUGAACAUGCUCUUUGAUUCUGAGCUACAGUUUGACAAGAUAUAAAAACCACAGCAAAACAGGCAGCUAGGGCAGGUGCUGUCCCCGGCCAAAGCCAGGCCAUCUCAGAGCAGACAGAACACAGGAUAACAGCUAUGAAGUACAGCAUCUUUUCAUUGCCACGUAAGUCACCUGAAAACAUGCCUGCCUCAGUCACUGCAUGGACCCCAACCUACACGUGACAGACGUGGCAGACCUCUCUUCCAGUGCCCCAUAAAGCUUCCUGGCUUAUCUCUGUUUGGGGCUGGUGGCCUCUGGCCUGCCGUCCGCCCACCUCUGCCCAGGCAAAUGAUGUCUGUGCCUCUUUGCUUUCACUGGCCUCUCGGGUGGUCCCACCCUCUAUGCCACUUGUUAUACUGUCUACCUACCUUUAUUCCUCUUGUCCCACCUCAGGACCGCAGUGUCUGGCUGUCUGAGUUCUGCCCUUCUCCUAGAGGUCCCCUAGAGAGAAACUGCAGGAAGCAAAUUACACAGACAGUAAAGACCUUUGUGUGUGUGUGGGGGCCCAAAAUAGUGUUUCCAGUUAAGUAAGGAAACAAAGACAUCCACAUCCGAUCCAGCCAGCCUCGCCUGUGAGGUCUCAGACCGCCAGCCCCAGAGCGCAGUGGCGUUGGGGUCGCCCGCGUGUGCAGUCCUUCCACACCUGGGCCCCCGGCCCCCUAGGUCCAGAGUGAGGCUCCCGGAACUCCUGGGUGCCACGGCCCACGGCCCACGCCACACCUCAGGAAGGGAGAUGCUCCCUAAGGACCCUGGUGCCCGGGCUGGGCCCAGCUCAAUGAAGGGCUUCACUGUCUUCCCAGGUUUCUUCCAUACGUUCCUCACAUGACCUAAGCCUGGAGGAAACACUGACCAUCUAGAAAGGACAGGGAGAUGGUUUGCAAUUCCAAAGUAAUUUCUAAGCAAAACGUCCACAACCAGCAUAACUACCCCGGCUUCCUAAACCCCAGGGGUAACUCUGUGAGUGUAAAAAGGCCACUAAGCUCGCUCUGGGUGCCGAUGCUUUCGUGGCACUGCUCACCAGCCCCUCAAAGGCGUGGCGCGCUCUCUGUUUUCUUACCCCAAAUUCUACCUGCGCUUCUGUCGACCACCCAGGGGUCUUGAGUGAACUCUUUCACCAAGGGCACGAAGACCAAAAAUGUGAGGAGCUGCUUCCUUGGUGCAUCAGGACCUGGCUUUCUGGUGACACUCUGGUCACCAAGAAGGCAGUCGGGGUGGGUGAAGGGCAAACACGGCACCAAGCGGGGUAGCUGCAAAGGCUGACUAGGGCAGACUGAUCAAAGAGCGUGUUUGGGGCCAUGUAGGACCCACAACCCUGUGAGCAGCCCCGGUGGCUGACCACAGCCCAGAGAGCAGCCAGCCAGGCAGCCUGGACAGAAGGCACUGAAAGGGCUGCUCACUCAGAAGGGGAUGUGGGCCACCACCCACAGAUGCCAAGUGUGGUACCCAGGUGGCAGCUGCCAUGCUGUGCAUCAAUAAAGGCACCAAAGGGGACAAUCUCAGACACCCUAAAUGUAACACAAGGCUCGGGUGUGAAGGGGGAGGAGCAAAGGGAAGUUGGUAGGGUUCCAGCUGGGUGGAGCUGGGCACAGCUCCUUGCUGGAAACUUGGCCUGUGGACUUCGAUCCCAGCCCCCACAGAAGCUACAAGCAGGUCCCUCGCACCAGCCCUUCCGCCCCCAGCAGGGGAGGCUCCGUGUGAGCACCUUGGGCCUUCCUCCCCAGAUUCACUGCAGAAAGGCUCCGGCCUGCUACUUUGGGUGUCUCUCUGCAGCUCUUCACAGGCUGCCUGGAGUUGAGGAGCUCACCCAGGCCGGGCCCUCUCUGACCAGCAUCUGAACAGGAUCCUGAGCCCUCUAUCCAGAGAUCCCUCGGCCUCAGGAGUCUCAGUCCCCCACAGCCCAGUUCACAGCCAGUGCUGUGGUCGAGGGAGUGCUUGACAUGGGGUUGUCUGACCUGACUACUGCACAACCCGAGCAGAGUUUGAGAAGCCUCUCGUGUUGGCUGUCCUGGCCUCCCUGGGCCCAUAGAUGAGCUGAGGACCAUCACAGCUGCUCCAGGAAGGUGGAGAAUGUAGGAAGAUGGAUAUGAAGAAAUGGCGUAAAACUCAGCAAAAGAAAGAGGUCUCACUGUGCUGCCCACGCUGGUCUUGAACUCUUGCGCUCAAGUGAUUCUCCUGCCAGACAUGCCUGGCUUCAUGGAAUAAUCUGGAAGCCUGAAGCACCACGACGUUGUGGCUGGAGCUGCCAUUCCGAGAGCCAAGAACCAGAGCCUGGAGCCAGUCUGCCCAGAGGAGAAGAUGCCCAGCCCCAGGUAGCACCGACCUGAGCAGAGGCCCCUGAUGCUGGGCCUAGGCACGGUCUGCCUGCUGGGGACACUCAGAGCCCCUGGGGUUGGGCUGCUGACAGGAACCGUUGAUGCCAUCAGAAGAGCCUCCAGCAAGAUUCCAUGUACCCUGCAAACUCGUGCAGCCGUGCCCCAAGAGACACAUUCAUUCCAUGACGAUGGAGGUGACUCAUCGCCAGCGCCAGAGCUGGACUCCGGAACUGCUGCAGUCUUUUGAGCUGUGUCCUUCUGAUGUGCGGUAUCUAAAUCUGAAAAGCAGGGCAGCCUAGGGCAUUAUACAUGUGUUCAGCUGUGGCUCCUAGCUCUUACCUCCUUUCCCAGGCAGGCCCUAGAAACUAGAGUUUUCCCAUGAAACCCAAAAGGACAAGGUUCAGCAAGCUUCAGGAUGGCUGAACUUGUGGGGUCCCAGGAGGGUGUGGUAGCCCAUGCCAUGCGUCUGUGCAUCUCUCCUCUGUAUCCUUUGAUCGCUGGUAAAUGCAGUUCUGCCCGAGUUCCACGGGCAGCUUUAGCAAAUUAAUCAAACCUGAGUGGGGGUGUGGGCACCCAGGCUUAUGCCUGUUGGCCAGAGGAUGGGGCUGUGGCUGGUAUCUGAAGUUGAAGGACAGCCUUAGGGACAGAGUAGCCUUGCACUGGGCCCUUCCAGGAUGAGGCUUGGAACACAAACGACAACCACAUGAGCCCGAGGGAGAAGGCUGCGUCUGCUGCUCCAGGAGAGCAGUGCAGCGGGACUCGCCCUGCGACAGGACCUGAGUGCAGGGCCCACUGCUCGAGCUGCUGUCCCUCUGCGCUGACUUGCAGCUGUGCACAGCACGCUGUGCCUGUGUCCUUGGUCCUCGGCUGUUUGGAUGCGGACGCCUUGUGUCAUCUCCUUGAGUGUGCCCUGUUUAGGCUGCUAACCUUCCCGCAUUCCUGGGCUCAUCCUUCACUGGAGCUGGGCUGCUUCCUUCUUCUGUUCUUCAAAGACUUUUCUCAGCAUCGCCUCUCCCCCGCUUCUGGAGUUCCAAUGACACACUCUUCACACACCCUACCGACCCCGGGCUCCAGAGGCUAUUCUCCUUCUCUUUCCCAUCUUCAUUCCUUCUUGCGAGAUUUUCCCAUUGGCCAGCUCAAGCUGUGGGCCUCCCCUUCUGCACCUCCACUUGCUGUUGAGUCUGGUGAGCCUGUCAUUUUUGUCUGCCUUUUCAAUGAUGGUGAUCAUGUUUUCAUUUCUAAAAUUUCCAGGUGGCUCUAUAUCCUCGAUUUCUUUUCAGGUACUUUCUAGUCUAAUAUUUAAGUGCUCAACAUGGCUCCAUUGAGCAUUUCUGUACAGCUGCUUUAGAGCACUUGUUGGAUAAUUUCACACCUUGUCCUCCUGCACUGGGUUCCUGAACAUGGCUGGUCAAGAUGCUGAGCGAUCCUGAUUUGCAAUGUUUUGAAUCUUUCUUUGAGACUCUGGGUCUUUCAUCCACCACACGGAGACUGCUGGUCUUAGCCUUGGUAGGCAGUGGACUUAAGGUCAGUUUCCUUCUCCAACUGUUUGGGGCACCAUCUGGUUUGGCUGGUGCAGACCCCAGAGUGCUGGGUCUGAGGGGGCCAAAUCAACUCCACUGACACACACACACACACACACACACACACGCCCAUGCUGAAGCAAGGGCUCACAAUUCUGUGGGUAGUUUUCUGGUAUUUUCCAGCCCCACAGCUUCUGACUCCCUUCCCAGCCUUCAAGUCAGGAGGUAGAGGUGGUGGUGGACAUAGGGGUGACAGAGGAGCUGACCCACCUGUCAGCAGGUCCUCCUGGGCCACGUGGUCACCUGCAGAAGCACCACACACAGCAGGGAUAUGAGUGCCACUGCUCCCUCCACUGUCCACCAUCAUUUGCUCUCCCAUGGGGCUUUUCUUCAUCUUCCAGGACUGGCACCACACCUUGGUCUGCCUCAGUGCCCCUUAUGGAGGAUGCUCUGCUGGGCGUGUGGCCGGCAAGGGGUGCCCAGGGUGUCUGUCUGGAGCCACGUGGAAAGCCUACAUGGGCAGCUCAGGGCCUUUGCACCCAGGAGCAUGAGGCAGAGUGGGCAGGGUGAUCAGCGAGGGCAGCCUCUGCCCUGUGUCCCAAGGCCUCCUCAGGAGGGAGAGUGCACGAAGCAGAUGGGCAGGAGGCCACUUAUUAUUGCUUCCAGCAGGUGGUGUCUGGGCCUCUAGCUGCUGGACCAGGCUUCCUCCUGAGUGGGAGCCACCUGAACAACUCUCUUUCCCAAGGAUGCUGCUCCAGGACCUGCCGUGUGCUCACGGGGACAACACUGUGGCAGGCAGUGGCCACCUCCAGGACAAUGGACACUGUGAGCUUCACUGUGGGAGAUGCAGAAGAUGCCACCAGCACCAGUGUCCCCGUCCUUGAAGGGUCCGACCAUGGGCAGGAAGGACACCUGGCCACUCUCCUCAGCACUCAUGGAGUUCAGCCUUCUCUCACCUUUGCUGGCACCCAGUUCCCGCCUGUCUCAUCCUGUCUUGCCCAUCUUCCCUACUGCUACUGUCUUCCUCUUAUUGCCUAUAAACUUUACAUAUUAAAGUCAGUAGUAAUAGAUUAAUCCCUAA